CACUCGCACCAACUUCGCGU
rnacentral:snRNA from 1 species